CGCCUCCAGGCCCCGGGUUCCCUGGCUCGCUGGCCCGGCCUUGUAGCCCGCGUCCCGCGGGGCCGGGGGCUGGGGUUCCCGCGCUGUGCCGGGAGGGCCCGGACGUCUGGAAGACUUUGCAGCCGGGGCAAGCGACGUGGGCGCGGACGCGCGAGGAGGGCUGGGGCGCGGGGCGCGGGGCGCGGGGCUGAGAAGGGCGCCGUCCGGCGGUGGCCGGGCUGGCGGCUGGCGGCUGGCGGCUGGCGGGGACUGCGGAGGAGGCAGCUUGCGCCGGGGCUGGGGCCUGCUUUGGGGGACUAGCGGCCGGGGAGGUAUGGAGGUGCCGCUCCGCGGGGGCGAAAGAAACGAGGAAAGGUCGCCAGGAGGGAGCCUGUCCCCCAGGGUUUCCAGGGGCAACGGUGUCCUGUGUCCCUGGGAGACAUGCUCCAGGGCAGCAGGGAGUGGUCCCCGCAGGCUCCCAGGCUGGGGCCGGCCGCCUUCUGGGGCGCUUGGAACUGUCUGCUGCAGUUUGCAAAUGGUUUAACCAUCUUCAUAAAAAUACUUGGAGGACAGCUGCAUCCAGACUUCAAAUAUGUGAUGACUUCUCUGACCAUUCUUCUCAUUCUUUUCUUUCCCAAGUCUUCAAAACCCUGUGUGUCUGCACAGGCUUUCUCUUCUGUCUGCAUCUUGUGGUGAGUUGUUCUUGCACUAGGGCACAGCUGCACACACCAUGGGGUCAUGUUCUGCUAGAGGGACCCACCCAGGAUGUCUGCUUUCAUAGGGAAGGGUGGCUUUGCCCAGGAGAAUAAGCACCUUGGGCUCGGCUGCCUGGCACCCUGCGACUCGGUGCUAGAUAUUUAGAGGCCACAUGCCUGUCCUGGCUCAAUCAGUUGGCAAAGACCCUCUGUCUGGCACCCAGAGACCCUGGCCGUGCCUUUUCCCAUGGGAAGUUGAAUCCAGGCGCAACGGACCCUUUCUCUGGUAGUUGUGUGUGUGGAGAGGGUGGCCUGGCAGGGCUGAGUCCUUGCACCUCACUUCCUGUCGCCAGGAAAUGGAAACAUGGAAAAGUACUCAUGGCCGCCCAUUGGGCAGGCCUGGACUUCUGCACAGUUGAAAAUGGUAGAAAUAGGAUGUUAGGUCUAAUUCCAAAACCAGUUCUCUCAGCUACAUGUUCUUCUGCUCCUUCCCACGGGAAAAGGCACAGCCAGCUUCUCCGAGUGCCAGAUAGAGGGCCUUUCCCAACUGAGUGAGCCGGGGCGGGCACCUUACCUCUGAACAGCUGGCAUCUGGUGCAGGGUGCCUUUUCUUGUGUGGUCUAGACAGGAGGUAGAAAAUGCCCAUCCCAUAGCAUCUGAGCUUAGAUAUUAGGGCCUUUUCUCCCAGGUCUAUUUGUCAGCAAAAGAGAGCCUGAGUCAGGGGAUGGGGUCACGUUGCCACCGUGACUACUGGCUUGAUAGGUGGUGACCCUACCACCACCUAUGGUGCCCUGAGACAGGGACUGCUUUGCAAGGCAGUCCCCACUUAGACUGAGGUAGGACAGCAGGCAGGCAGGGGCAGGUCAGGAAUCGGGACAAACCAGGAUGUAGUCCACAUGGCCAAGGUAAAGACAGGAGCUUCAGGAAGAGCCUUCGGGUGUGGCCAGACCUGAGCUGGAGGCCAUGGCCGGGCUUCUCACAGACAGACCUGUUUUGGAUGGAGAUGAACUGUUAAGUUGUUUGUUUUUCAGUAAACUGCUCCACCCGAGAAUGUUCCAGUCAUGUCUUAAAAGGCUUAGCCCCUCCAGAGAGGGUCUGGUUUCCCUGAGUCAGUGAUUUUUGUCGCCUUCUGUCUAAGAAUCCUGCCAGUUUGUCUCCAAAAGAGUGUUUGCCCUUGGGGUGGAUGGGGGCUCAGCCGGCUCUGGACUGAGACUCAGUCCUCUUAGGCUUUGAUUCAGUAACUUUCCAAUUCCCUCCCACAGCACUGGGGCCACAGGUGGGCAUUUGGCUUAAACCUGACACUAACCCCAUUGACUUCAGUCACCAGAGCUGUCUGUACAUAACAGGUAUCCAUGCAUGUUGCCAACCAACAGCUCUUAUCUUGAGGUGGCUUGGCUGUCAACCAGGCCAGGGGAACUGAUUGCCGGAGGCCUCAUCUCAGAAGCAAAGAAAAGCACCGUGUCCUUGCUCUAGUGUUUUCCAAGGACUCUAGGAAGUGCCUGAUAUGGUUUGGCUGUGUCCCCACUCAAAUCUCAUCUUGAAUUCCCACAUGUUGUGGGAGGGACCUGGUGGGAGGUAAUUGAAUCAUGGGGGCAAGUCUUUCCCGUGCUGUUCUUGUGAUAGUGAAUAGUCUCACGAGAUCUGAUGGUUUUAUAAAGAGGAGUUCCCCUGCACAAGUUCUCUCUCUUUGCUUGCUGCUGUUCAUAUAAGACAUGACUUGCUCCUCCUUGCCUUCCGCCAUGACUGUGAGGCCUCCUCAGUCAUGUGGAACUGUAAGUCCAUUGAACCUCUUUCUUUUGUAAACUGCCCAGUCUCAGGUAUAUCUUUAUCAGCAGCGUGAGAACAGACUAAUACAGUGCCUUUAAAACAUGUUUACAGUGAUGUUUUCAGUGGGGGCCACCUCUCUUUGGUGAAUCCAUGAAGAACAUUUAGCACAAGUCUCAACACUUGUGUAAUCAAGAACAAGUUAGAUUGGUAUCCCAGUUUCCAGUUAAAAUAACAGCACAAGUUUAUUUGGCUUGAUUUCCCCAGGGCUUACCCUUUUCCCACAAAAUUUCAUAUAUUUAAAUAUGUACAAUCUCCAAAACAGCAUAAUAGUCAUUACAGAGAAGGUUGAUGGUGUUUUCUGAACAAAAAGUACAAUUUUUGCUACUUUUUAGAGUCAGUCUGGGAGGUGUAAUUGGAGGCAGAAAUAUUUAAGUUUGGGCUGGUCUAUUAAAAGAUCACAGAACACAGUAUUUGAAUUAUGCCUGCCCCAAAAGUACAUUCAGGUCAUCUGAUAGUGAUCCUGGCAUCCAUUGAGUCCAACAUUCACCCCACCUUUUGUGUGUAUCUGGCAGAAGCAGACUCAGUAACAAUAUAGGAGGCCUAGCCAGUAACAUUCUUUCUUGCCAUAGUAAUCUCUAUUUCUUUCUUCUUAUUGUUCUUGGAGUCCCAGUGGAGAAGAUUGGGCAUGAAAGUGAAAAAGCUAAAACGGGUGAAGGGCCAGGAGGAAAGGCAGAAUAUGUAAAGUUCCUGGACAAAUAAUAAUUAGUAAUAAAAAUAAGAACGAGCACAGCAACAGGUAGUACUUAUAUGCUACGUGCCAUACUAUGCUGGAUGCUUGACAGGGUUACCUCGUUCAUUCAUCCAAUUGUUCAGCAAUUACUAAUGUGUCAAGCAGCAUUCCAGGUACCAAGGGCACAGCAAUAAAUAAAACAAAGUCCUUGCUCUUGUGGAGUUUGCAUUCCAGUAGGGAGAUAGACAACAAACAAAUACGUACGUAAUGCCCAGGAGAUGAGUGCUAAGAAGGAAAAUAAAUCUGAGCAUGGGAGAGAGGGGGCCGGGGGGUCCCAGGGGAGGUCACUCUGUUGAGUAGGUAUCUGUCUGCUUUGCAGGCAGUCAACAACAGGCCCUAAGCCUGGGAAGGGCUUCACAAUGCAUGGUAGGGGAUGAAGGCCAUGGGGUAGCUAGGGAUCCCAGUGAAAUGGAAAAGCCACUAGAGAUUGUUGAGUAGGGACAUAUUUUAAGGAUUAUCUUUGAAGGAAUCACUUUGCCUGUUUGGUGGAGAAGAGGCUGGGGAAAGGAUGAGAGGAGGCAGGGAGACUGGUUCACAGGCUACUCCAAUAGUUGAGGAACAGAUGGUGAUGGCAUGAAGCUUGAGCUAAAACUGGAGGAGGUGAGAAAUGGUGGGUUUGGGAUCUUCUCUGGAGUUAUGAUGGUGGCAGAAUAGCUGAUGGACUUGAAUGUGGUAUGAGAGCAAGAGAAGAGUCAGGGAUGUCAUCUAAGUUUUUGGCUGGAGCUCAAACUAGGGGUACCAUUUCUAACAUGAGUGCCCGACGGAGGAGCUGAUCUGGAAAUGGAAAUCAAGCGUUUGGAGUGGAUAUACUGCCUUUGUGCUGCUCUCUAGACAUCAGGUGGAGAUGUCAUAGAUAGAGCUGAGUGCCUAAACUAGUCUGAAGCUCAGAGGGCAGGCUCGAGAUUGAGAUUUAGGAGCCAUCAGCAGAAAUGUGGUCCCUGAGGUCAGAGGCCUGGAUGACCAACAAAGGAGGGAGAAGACGUGAGGUCCAAGAACCGACUUCUCGGUACUCCAAGCUUCACACAUAGGAAAAGGGCAGAUACUGAGGGGAGUUGAAGGAGGGGAGGAAACCAGAAGAGAGUGCUUAUUUUGAUAGCACAUGGAGCAAGUGCACUCAUAAGCUAGUAUGAUGAGUACUGAGAAUUGACCACAUGGUUUAGCAAUGUGGAUUUCAUUCGUCUCAAAACCUUAUGUGGUAGACACUGUUAUUUUCCUCAUCUCUCCCUCUCUCUCUCUCUCUCUCUCUCUCUCUCUCUCUCUCUCUCUCUCCCCCCCCCCUUCCUUCCUUUCUUUCUUUUUUUUUUUUUGAGAUGGAGUCUCACUCUGUUGCCCAGGCUGGAGUGCAGUGGAUGAUCUCAGCUCCCUGCAACCUCCGCCUCCCGGGUGCAAAUUCUCCUGCCUCAGGCUCCCAAGUAGCUGGGAUUACAAGUGCCUACCAGCAUGCCUGGCUUUUUUUUUUUUUUUUUUUUUUUUUGUAUUUUUUAGUAGAGACAGGGUUUCACCAUGUUGGCUAGGCUGGUUUUGAACUCCUGACCUCAAGUGAUCUGCCCGCCUCGGCCUCCUAAAGUGCUAGGAUUACAGGCAUGAGCCACUGUGCCCAGCCAUUUUCCUCAUUUUUCAGAGGAGAAAGCCAAGACUCAGAGAGGCUUAAGUAACCCUUGGCCUGGGAUGGAAACAGUAGGAGGGGUCCUCAAAAAAUUAAAAAUAGAUACCAUAUGAUCCAGCACCCCCACUACUGGGUAUCUAUCCAGAGGAAAUAUAAUCAGUAUAUCAAAGAGAUGUCUGCACUCCCAUGUUCAUUGCAGCACUAUUUACAAUAGCUGAGAGAUGAAAUCAACCAAAGUGUCCAUCAAUGGAUGAGUGAAUAAAGGAGAUAUGGUAUACAAACACUGUGGAAUACUAUUCAGCCUUAAAAAAGAAGAAAAUCUUGUCAUUUGCUACAACAUAGAUGAACCUGGAGAAUAUUAUAUUAAGUGAAAUAAGUCUGGCAUAGAAAGACAAACACCACAUAAUCUCACUUAUAUGUGAAAUAUAAACAAGUCAAAGUCAUAGAACUAAAGAGGUAGUAUUGGGGUAACAUAGAGAGUGGGGAGAAGAGAGAGAGAGAGAGAAGAAGGAGGAAAAAAGACUCGGGAGAUGCUGGUCAAAGAGACACAGUAAGCUCACAUAGAGAGAGAACAAAUCCAGAGACAUACACGGUAACUACAGUUAAUAACAUAUGUAGUAUGUUA
rnacentral:lncRNA from 10 species